AACGCACCUUGCGCCCCUUGGAUAUUCUGAGGGGCAUGCCUGUUUGAGUAUCAUGAACACCUCAACUCCUCAUGGUUUGCCGUGAUGAGCUUGGACUUUUGGAGGUUUUGCUGGCCCUGCUGUCGGCUCCUCUCAAAUGGAUCAGCUUGCCAGUGUUUGGUGGCGUCAUGGGUGUGAUAACUAUCUACGCUUGUGGCCGUCUGCCAGGUAACCUUCAGCAACGGAGGUUCGCUGGAGCUCACAAAAGUCUUUCCUCAGUGAAGACAGCUUUUUGAACGUUCGAUCUCAAAUCAGGUAGGAUUACCCGCUGAACUUAA
rnacentral:misc_RNA from 1 species